GGCCCCUUGGUCAAGCGGUUAAGACACCGCCCUUUCACGGCGGUAACAGGGGUUCGAGUCCCCUAGGGGUCA
rfam:Clostridium caminithermale DSM 15212 genome assembly, contig: EJ27DRAFT_scaffold00016.16